rnacentral:rRNA from 1 species
UACGAAGGGGGCUAGCGUUGCUCGGAAUCACUGGGCGUAAAGCGCACGUAGGCGGGUCGUUAAGUCGGAGGUGAAAUCCUGGAGCUCAACUCCAGAACUGCCUUCGAUACUGGCGAUCUUGGAGUCCGGGAGAGGUGAGUGGAACUCCGAGUGUAGAGGUGAAAUUCGUAGAUAUUCGGAAGAACACCAGUGGCGAAGGCGGCUCACUGGCCCGGUACUGACGCUGAGGUGCGAAAGCGUGGGGAGCAAACAGG